AUGAAGGUGCAGGGAGAGAUUGCGCAUGGACGUAACGCCGAAGGAGUAAGCCCAGCGGGGUGAAUCUCUCAGGCAAAAGGACCUGUACCGGACG
rnacentral:ncRNA from 2 species